AUUGAACGCUGGCGGCAUGCCUUACACAUGCAAGUCGAACGGUAACAGGCCGCAAGGUGCUGACGAGUGGCGAACGGGUGAGUAAUGCAUCGGAACGUGCCCAGUAGUGGGGGAUAGCCCGGCGAAAGCCGGAUUAAUACCGCAUACGACCUGAGGGUGAAAGGGGGGGAUCGCAAGACCUCUCGCUAUUGGAGCGGCCGAUGUCAGAUUAGCUAGUUGGUGGGGUAAAGGCCUACCAAGGCAACGAUCUGUAGUUGGUCUGAGAGGACGACCAGCCACACUGGGACUGAGACACGGCCCAGACUCCUACGGGAGGCAGCAGUGGGGAAUUUUGGACAAUGGGCGCAAGCCUGAUCCAGCAAUGCCGCGUGCAGGAAGAAGGCCUUCGGGUUGUAAACUGCUUUUGUCAGGGAAGAAACGGUUGUGGCUAAUAUCCAUGGCUAAUGACGGUACCUGAAGAAUAAGCACCGGCUAACUACGUGCCAGCCGCCGCAGUAAGAC
rnacentral:rRNA from 1 species